rnacentral:rRNA from 1 species
UACGGAGGGUGCAAGCGUUAUCCGGAUUCACGGGGGUUAAAGGGUGCGUAGGUGGGCAGUUAAGUCAGUGGUGAAAUCUCCGGGCUUAACCCGGAAACUGCCAUUGAUACUAUCUGUCUUGAAUAUCGUGGAGGUAAGCGGAAUAUGUCAUGUAGCGGUGAAAUGCUUAGAUAUGACAUAGAACACCAAUUGCGAAGGCAGCUUACUACCCGAAUAUUGACACUGAGGCACGAAAGCGUGGGGAUCAAACAGG